GCGGUUGGGCAGAUAGGCUAUUCAAGCUCAUAAGCUGAAGGUCACAGGUUCGAAUCCUGUCACCGCA
rnacentral:tRNA from 1 species